rnacentral:rRNA from 1 species
UACGGGGGGAGCAAGCGUUGUUCGGAUUUACUGGGCGUAAAGGGCGCGUAGGCGGCCACCGCAAGUCGACUGUGAAAUCUCCGGGCUUAACCCGGAAAGGUCAGCCGAUACUGCGGGGCUAGAGUGCAGAAGGGGCAACUGGAAUUCUCGGUGUAGCGGUGAAAUGCGUAGAUAUCGAGAGGAACACCUGCGGCGAAGGCGGGUUGCUGGGCUGACACUGACGCUGAGGCGCGAAAGCUAGAGGAGCGAACGGG